rnacentral:rRNA from 1 species
ACGGAAGGCAGCAGUGGGGAAUAUUGGGCAAUGGGGGAAACCCUGACCCAGCAACGCCGCGUGAGGGAAGAAGGUCUUCGGAUUGUAAACCUCUUUUACCAGGGAAGAAGAAAGUGACGGUACCUGGAGAAAAAGCCACGGCUAACUACGUGCCAGCAGCCGCGGUAAUACGUAGGUGGCAAGCGUUGUCCGGAUUUACUGGGUGUAAAGGGCGUGUAGGCGGGAAGACAGGUCAGAUGUGAAAUGUCGGGGCUCAACCCCGGAACUGCAUUUGAAACCGUUUUUCUUGAGUAUCGGAGAGGCAGGCGGAAUUCCUAGUGUAGCGGUGAAAUGCGUAGAUAUUAGGAGGAACACCAGUGGCGAAGGCGGCCUGCUGGACGACAACUGACGCUGAGGCGCGAAAGCGUGGGUAGCAAACAGGAUUAGAUACCCUGGUA